rnacentral:rRNA from 1 species
UAGCUGAGGAAAAGGAAACUAACAAGGAUUCCCUUAGUAACGGCGAGUGAAGCGGGAAGAGCUCAAAUUUGAAAUCUUCAAGGUUUUACCUUGACGAAUUGUAGUUUAAAGAAGUGUUUUCUGUUGAAGUUUUGGUAAAAGUUCUUUGGAAUAGGACAUCAUAGAGGGUGAGAAUCCCGUAUUUGACCAUUAUUUUCAGCUGUGUGAUACACUUUCAAAGAGUCGGAUUGUUUGGGAAUGCAGUCCAAAAUGGGUGGUAAAUUUCAUCUAAAGCUAAAUAUUGGCGAGAGACCGAUAGCGAACAAGUACCGUGAGGGAAAGAUGAAAAGAACUUUGAAAAGAGAGUUAAACAGUACGUGAAAUUGUCAAAAGGGAAGCGUUUGACACCAGUGUUGUUUUCUCGAAAAUCAAUUAAAAAGAGUUGGAUUUUGUGUUGUAUUGACCUUAACAGCUUGCUUCACUCUUUUCCUGCUUUUUUUAAUGCACUUUUCGUUUAACAAGUCAACAUCAGUUUCUUUUGUUGUAAAAGGGUCAUUGGAAGGUGGCUUUCUCUUCGGAGAAAGUGUUUAUAGCCUUUGAUCUCUGCAAUCGGAGAGACUGAGGUCUGCAGCGUAGAUCCUUCGGGGUUAGAUACAUUUGUGCUAAGCUACAGCUUUUCAUAGACAACUUGUUGACUAUGUUUAGUCUUGUGACUUACCCGCUUAUGCUAUUUUACCUACGCUUAGGAUGUUGACAAAAUGGUUUUAAACGACCCGUCUUUGAAAACAANANACACCCAAAA